GAAGGUGGGGAUGACGUCAAGUCAGUAUGGCCCUUACGGCCAGGGCUGCACACGUACUACAAUGCCUAAUACAAUGGGAAGCAAUACCGUGAGGUGGAGCAAAUCCUCAAAAUUGGGCCCAGUUCGGAUUGUAGUCUGCAACUCGACUACAUGAAGCCGGAAUCGCUAGUAAUGGGGCAUCAGCUACGGCCCCGUGAAUACGUUCCCAGGCCUUGUACACACCGCCCGUCA
rnacentral:rRNA from 1 species